AGCUUUGCGCAGUGGCAGUAUCGUAGCCAGUGAGGUUUAUCCAAGGCGCGAUUAUUGCUAAUUGAAAUAUUAAAAAGAUUCAUUAGGGGUAACUUCCUUCUACCCUAUCCCAGCUCCUCAAAGUUUUGAGCAUUCAGGAGCUGAA
rnacentral:snRNA from 1 species